rnacentral:ncRNA from 1 species
GGUCUUCAGGGCGAGGUGAAACUCCUCACUGGCGGUAACGCGAAGCAAUCGCGAAGCCCGCGACCCUUGUGCGAGCAAGGUUGAUCUGGUGCAAGUCCAGAGCCAACGGUUAUAGUCCGGAUGGAAGAAGACG